GUUAAGACUACUAAUUCCUACUUAAUCGCAAUACGCAACAGUGCCUACGGACCAAUACAUAAAUCAAUCCGGCAUUAAGCGUUCAAAUAUGGAUUAUAUAAUUACCAAUUAAACAACAUUCAAGUAAAUACUGCUUAUACUGCCGUUGAUUUGAUUAUUUGUAAAUUAUAUGUUGAAUCAAUAAAGAGUUAUUAUAUUUUGAAUACGAUAAUACUUUAAGAUGAUCGGGCUGAUUUUAUAAUAAAAUAUUGAGCGGCGUAUUUUUAAUAAGGUUUUAUUUUACGCGAAAAUUAUUUUUGUCUGUGAUACUCAUGAAUAGAAACUAAACAUGUACUAAAAUUGUUGAAAUUUUCAUAGGAUAAUUAAUAGUAUUCGGUAAUAGGUACUAUUCGAAUUUCGACUUUUCGAUAACAAAAA
rnacentral:misc_RNA from 1 species